UACGUAGGGGGCAAGCGUUAUCCGGAUUUACUGGGUGUAAAGGGGGCGCAGACGGCAGCGCGAGCCAGGAGUGAAAGCCCGGGGCCCAACCCCGGGACUGCUCUUGGAACUGCGCGGCUGGAGUGCAGGAGGGGCAGGCGGAAUUCCUGGUGUAGCGGUGAAAUGCGUAGAUAUCAGGAGGAACACCGGUGGCGAAGGCGGCCUGCUGGACUGCGACUGACGUUGAGGCCCGAAAGCGUGGGGAGCAAACAGG
rnacentral:rRNA from 1 species